rnacentral:lncRNA from 1 species
AUAAGCACGUUAAUAAACACUUAAAGUAAUAAUUUAAUCCUCAACAUCUACAUAAUUUUAUGGAUUAAUUUCAGUUUAGUACUCUAAAAUAUCUUGAUUUUCAACAUUUCAUACAUCAAGUUUUUUUUGUCACAAAAGUGGUACCUAAAGUCAUAAUUAUGGAACAAUUUCAUACUUCCGUUAAGUUGUCUGUUAAAAUAGGCGUUAACUUAUGACGUGGUGCCCGCAUGGACAGUGACUAGGCGUCACAUGAAAAUUAAAAAAUUGAAUAAAAUUAAAAAAUUAUAAAAAUAUUAAAAAUUGAAGUCGCCAUUUCUAGCCUGGCAGUCCUCCAUCUUUCCUAUCCUUUCAUCUUCUUUUAUUGUUCAUGUUUUUCAAUAACUAAACUGCAAAAAAAUUGUAGAAAAUCAACACACCAAUUAAUUCAGGAACCCACAUCCCAUAAAUCAAACCAUGUUUGAUAUAAACUUAAAUUCGUCAUAAAAAAAAUUGUGGCCAAAUUUGUUGACCAGUUGUCGCCUCCAUGUCAACCAUCUUCGAAAUCAGCAAUCAGUACCUUAAUCGGGCUCUAGCGGAGUUUUCUCUCUCCUCACCCAUCAAAACCAACCCUCUUUGUGUCACAACACUUCCAGCCUCAACCGCCACCAAAUCUAGUCUCUCUAUCCUAUCUCCCUCACACAGUCUCACCCUCUCACUCUAAAACUCAAACCACCAUAAUGGGAGCCUCCCUCACAAUCU